rnacentral:rRNA from 1 species
GACGAACGCUGGCGGCGUGCUUAACACAUGCAAGUCGAACGGAAAGGCCCUGCUUUUGUUGGGUGCUCGAGUGGCGAACGGGUGAGUAACACGUGAGUAACACGCACUUGACUUUGGGAUAACUUCACGAAACUGCGGCUAAUACCGCAUAGGAGCUACUGCAGCAUGGUGGGGGUUGGAAAGUUUCGGCUGUUGGGGCUCGACUCGCAGCUUAUCAGCUUGUUUGUGGAGUAGGUGCUUUCCAAGGCUUUGACGGGUAGCCGGCCUGAGAGCGUUACCGGGGACCAUGGGCCUGAGAUACGGAGCAGACUGCAACGGGAGGCAGCGGUGGGGAAUAUUACACAAUGGGCGGACGCCUGAUACAGCAGCGUUGCGAGCGGGAUGCUGGCUUUCGGGUUGUAAACCGCUUUCGCCUGUGACGUGGCGUGAGUGACGGUAAUGGGUAAAGAAGCCCCGGCUAACUACGUG